UGGUAAAUAAGAAGUUUACUUGUGCCUGGUUCAGUUGCUGGACCUCUGGGGAGGAAAGUACAAUGGCUGAGAGAAAUGAGCUUGAGUAUCAUCCAGCCUCUGAAGACUUUUAGACACCCGGCUAAUUUUUGUAUUUUUAGUAGAGACAGGGUUUCAGUGGCUGUGGGAACUCUAAUCCAUUCAUGAUACUGCUCUUGGGAAACUUCUAGUUCCUUGGUACUCAUCCCUAUUACUGCAGCAGACACCCUGACUUCCUGGGAUACUCUUCACACUCGAGUGUGAUGCCAGGCCCAGUUGAGAACAGGUUUUGUGGUGAUGGUGAGGGGACAGAAGAGAAAGGAAUGGAAGAGAAUUCCCUCUCCCUGGACCCAUCCUCACCCUCUCUUGCUGCGGUAACAAUUCCUAAAACCGUCCUCUCCUCUUUGGUCAAAAUACUCAAAACGGCUGCGUGCAGUGGGUCAUGCCUGUAAGCCCAGCAA
rnacentral:lncRNA from 1 species